CUAGGACUCGGUUAGUCUGUAGUGAGUAGUUGCUGUGUGUUCUUGGGGUUUUACCCCUCAGUUCAUUAAAAAAAAAAAUUAAUUAAAGAAUAAAAGAAAGAAAAAACCCCAUAUAUUAGUGAAAAAGCAACUCAAAAACUGCACUUUUUCCCAAACAAAAACUGGUCUUUUGCUGCUCUUCUUCUAUUCAUUCAAUUGGGUGUAAAAUAGAAGUACGUAUUGAUAGAGCAUCUGCUCCAACGAAAACAAAAACAAAAAACGAGAACAAAAUCUAAUUCGAAAAGGCCUUCGUUGUUUCUCGAAAAUUUCUCUUCCUUCUCUGGCAGCCACCUGGUCUGUAUCAAUCCAGGUUAGCCUCCUCUCUUCUCUCUCUCUCUCUCUCUCUCGACCGGCUCCUCUAAUUCUCUCUUUCAUUUCGAUAUUCUCAGUCUCAGCCCCUCAUAUUCUCAAUCUCCGAUCUUUGCUGUCAACCCCUUCAAAUCUUGAAGCGGCUUGGGGUGCUCGCUGUUAUCUCAGUCUCAGGUAAGCCUGCUCUUCCUCAAACAGCCCGGUAUGCGCUUGCCAAUUUAGCAAAUUUGGGUUUGUUCUGUGAAAUUUAAAUUAGGGUUCAUGUCGAAAGUAAUUUGGGCCUUCGGUUUUUAAUUUUGUCUCUUGGACUUUCUGAGUUAAAUAAAAAGGAUUGAUAGCCUAAUUUAGGGUACCUGUUGCUUAACAUCAUAUCUGCCUUUUUCCUUCUUGUCCUUGUGCUUGCUUUUGGGGUUUGAGGAUUGUUGUGCGGUAAUCAGUGGUUGAAUGCUGCCUGUAAAUGUGGUUCAUGAUAUAUAGUUAAUGUGGUACUGGGUUAGAUGUUAUUUGUAUGACUUAGGAAUUGUCUUAUGUUCUGAUCUAUAGUGAAGGAGAUUUCAUUCUGGGUCUUAUGUUCUCUUUUGUAUCCGUAACAGACAACCAGAUUAUAGACAAACAAUUUCUGAUUUUUUGUGAUCAUAAGCUGUUCAAGCAUGGUCUUAUAUUUUUGUGAUCAUAGCCAGACUAAAUGAGUAAAGUGUACUUGGAUGUUUAUGUUUUUAGGAUAUUGUGAAUUGACAUGAAAUUGGUUUUCUAAACUGUUACUAGUUUCUGUUUUUAGUAUACUGUGCAAGAAUAUUUGUACACUGGUUUUAUUAAUUUGGAGUCUGUUUUUAGGAUAUUGUGAAAUGAGUUCAAGCAUAGUUUUGUAAAAUGUUACUAGGUUCUGUUUUUAGCUGGUUUUAUUAAUUUGGAGUCUGUUUUUAGGAUAUUGUGAACUGAGUUCAAGCAUAGUUUUGUAAAAUGUUACUAGGUUCUGUUUUUAGUACACGUUUCUUCUUGAAGCCCGAAAACCGAAAAAAAUAAAUUUCAAUUGGGUUCAGGCCCAUACUGAGAACCAGAAAACCGAACUGGGCUGUGUAGGUUCUGUUGGUUUGGUUUUGGUGGCUGUUUUUUAUCACAACCAAACCGAAUCGUAUACCUUGUUCAGUUUCGAUUUCGGUUGUAGACGACAACCGGACCGUACCCACCCUUAUCAAUAAGAGAUAUAAACAAGAGAAGGGUAGAAAUACUGCACUAUAGGAUUCGUGUUGAAAACUUGGAAUCGGAAAUAACCCUAACAUUUGUGUUCCCUGAUUUAAAGCCUUAAAUUUAUAUAUCAUAUGCAUACGUUGCCCUUGGUUGAGUUUGACCCUUUGUUUUUUUCCCAGUUCUAAAGCAAUCAAUUAUUCGAUCACCAAAUCCCUAAUCGAUCCCUUUUUGUCUUUGGUGUGUUAUUUUUUCGGCAAAUGCUUCAACUCACAACGUUUCUCUUGCCAUUGUUAUGUUUGAUGUUAUUUAAUUUCUGGGGAAGAAAAUUUGGUAUGCGGUUGUGAUGUUUCUUUGUUUGAAAAUUUGCAGAGAACAGUCUUUGUGGGAGUUUCUUCAUGGCGGAAAGCUCUUUCAAGGAGGAAUAUCCACAGGGUCAAUGUUUUUUUUUGUUUUUUUUGUUUUUUUUGUUUUGUUUUUUGUUUUUGUUUUUAUAAAUUUUAUAUAUAUUUUAAAUAUUUUCUGGGGUGGUUUAUUGUAUAGUUUAUGCAAUACCCAUGUUCCUAUUUUGUGUUUUAAUAUUUGUUUGUAAUUUGAAUGUUUAAUUUUUCAAGCAGAGUAAUGAGUUUUUCCUGUUUGGAUUGGAGGUUACUUUAUAGAUAAAACGUGAAAUGUUGUUUUUGUCUAAGGCUGAAAUGUUCCUUUUUCAUGCCAAAAUGUAAACAGUAUGUGUAGUUAUUUAUCUUUAAGAUGAUGGUCUUUGUAGGUUAAAGGUUAUUGAAAAAAAAUUUAGAUACAGGGUUGAUAGUGAUUAUGGUUAUUUUAGAAGAGAAUUUCUUGUUGUAAUUGUGUUUAAAUUUGUUUUUUAAUUUCUGGUUAAG
rnacentral:lncRNA from 1 species